CCUGAGCAGCUUUGUAAGCAGUGAGUGUAUGUUCAGCAGCAUCUUUCCUCUCUUGACCAGAUUUGAACUCAGCCAAGUAUCUAUGGUAAUCACCUUUCAUCUUAAGGUAAAACACCUUCGAAUCUCCAGAAGCAGCAGCGGGGACGAGGAUCGUAUCGAGAAGCUUGAGGAUACCGUCACAGAUAUCGGAGAGCUCGGUUUCGAUUUUGCUUCUGUAGUCACGGAUCAAGGAAACGUGGUCGUCGUUGCCGCGAGACUCUUCCUUCUGUUCAAUCGAUGAGAUGAUCCUCCACGAGGCACGGCGAGCUCCGAUCACGUUUUUGUAAGCGACGGAGAGGAGGUUACGUUCUUCGACGGUGAGUUCGUCUUUGUCAACGGCUUUCGCGACUUUUUCCAUGAAUUCGACCAUCUCUUCGUAACGCUCGGCUUGUUCCGCGAGUUUCGCCAUGUAUACGAACUCUUCCCUUGCUGAUGAAGCUGCUGGUGCCGCCAUUGUUGUUUAGAUCGGAGAUGAUGAA